rnacentral:rRNA from 1 species
GAUGAACGCUGGCGGCGUGCCUAAUACAUGCAAGUCGAGCGAACAGACGAGGAGCUUGCUCCUCUGACGUUAGCGGCGGACGGGUGAGUAACACGUGGAUAACCUACCUAUAAGACUGGGAUAACUUCGGGAAACCGGAGCUAAUACCGGAUAAUAUAUUGCACCGCAUGGUUCAAUAGUGAAAGACGGUUUUGCUGUCACUUAUAGAUGGAUCGCGGCGGCAUGAGCUAGUUGGUAAGGUAAUGGCUUACCAAGGCAACGAUGCGUAGACGACCGGUGAGGGUGGUCGGCCACAUUGGAACUGAGACAGGCACAAGAGUACUGAGGGACGCAGCAGUAUGGAAUCUUCGGCAACAGGGGAGAGCCUGACGGAGCAAGGCCGCGUGAGAGAUGAAGAUCUUGGGAGCGUAAAACUCUGUUAUUGGGGAAGAACAAAUGUGUAAGUAACUAUGCACGUCUUGACGGUAACUAAUCAGAAAGCCACGGCUAACUACGUG